CGGGUGAGUAAUGCAUCGGAACGUGUCCUCUUGUGGGGGAUAACCAGUCGAAAGACUGUGUAAUACCGCAUGAGAUCGAGAGAUGAAAGGCGGGGGACCGCAAGGCCUCGCGCGAGAGGAGCGGCCGAUGCCCGAUUAGCUAGUUGGCGGGGUAAUGGCCCACCAAGGCGACGAUCGGUAGCUGGUAUGAGAGUACGACCAGCCACACUGGGACUGAGACACGGUCCAGACUCCUACGGGAGGCAGCAGUGGGGAAUUUUGGACAAUGGGGGCAACCCUGAUCCAGCCAUGCCGCGUGUGUGAAGAAGGCCUUCGGGUUGUAAAGCACUUUCGGACGGAACGAAAUCGCGCGGGCGAACAUCCCGCGUGGAUGACGGUACCGUAAGAAGAAGCACCGGCUAACUACGUGCCAGCAGCCGCGGUAAUACGUAGGGUGCGAGCGUUAAUCGGACUUACUGGGCGUAAAGUGUGCGCAGGCGGACGCGCAAGUCGAGUGUGAAAGCCCCGGGCUUAACUUGGGAAUUGCGCUCGAAACUACGUGGCUGGAGUGUGG
rnacentral:rRNA from 1 species